rnacentral:rRNA from 1 species
AACGAACGCUGGCGGCGGGCCUAACACAUGCAAGUCGAACGCUCUCUUCGGAGGGCGUGGCAGACGGGUGAGUAACACGUGGGAACCUACCCCUUGGUACGGAAUAACUGAUGGAAACGUUAGCUAAUACCGUAUGAGCGCUGAGGCGGAAAGAUUUAUCGCCAAGGGAUGGGCCCGCGUAGGAUUAGCUAGUUGGUGGGGUAAAGGCCUACCAAGGCGACGAUCCUUAGCUGGUCUGAGAGGAUGAUCAGCCACACUGGGACUGAGACACGGCCCAGGCUUCUACGAGGGGCAGCAGUGGGGAAUAUUGGACAAUGGGCGGAAGCCUGAUCCAGCCAUGCCGCGUGAGUGAUGAAGGCCUUAGGGUUGUAAAGCUCUUUCACCUGGGAAGAUAAUGACGGUACCAGGAGAAGAAGCCCCGGCUAACUUCGUGCCAGCCGCCGCCGUAGUAA